rnacentral:rRNA from 1 species
GUUGACCUCGGAUCAAGUAGGGAUACCCGCU